rnacentral:lncRNA from 1 species
AUGGGCAUCGAGACCACUGGUUACCCACGCGCUCCAGAGCAGAUUUGCCCCGAGUUGGUAAACCGAUCGGAAGCGGUGGGAGAAAUUUCCUGUAACUUCAGCAUACCUCGACCGAGAGAGACACAGCACAGGCUGCCGGCCAGGCCUGUUGCCCAGACCCCCGUCCUCGAAGUUUCCAGGAGCAGAAAGCAGCAGACGAGCAGAACUGCCUUGUCUUGGGUCAGCACCUGUUCGUUCCAGUGCCUACAGGGACAGGCUGCAGUCCUACCAAUUGCCAGGCAGGUUGAAUAUUCCAGGGUCCCAUGCAAAACGAAGCAAGAUCUUGUGAAGCCAGAAGCCCAAACAAAUCUCAGAUACCCAAGAAGUUCACACAGCCCUGAUCGCUGCUUAGUGACGGCUGGAGCCUCCGGGGGUGGGAGCGCCAUCUGAGUUCCCAGGGGAAUAAACACGCUCACGCAAGGGCUUUUGAAAAGAAG